rnacentral:rRNA from 1 species
UACGGAGGGGGCUAGCGUUGUUCGGAAUUACUGGGCGUAAAGCGCACGUAGGCGGUCUGUUAUGUCGGAUGUGAAAGCCCUUGGCUCAACUGAGGAAGUGCAUCCGAAACUGGCAGGCUAGAGUACUAAAGAGGGUCGCGGAAUUCCCGGUGUAGAGGUGAAAUUCGUAGAUAUCGGGAGGAACACCUAUGGCGAAGGCAGCUCGCUGGGACGUUACUGACGCUGAGACGCGAAAGCGUGGGGAGCAAACAGG